AAUUUAGAAAAUGGAGGGAGUGUUGAAAGUAGCACAAACCACCGCUAAGGUCGUUUUCCGUCACUCUGCACUGCGGUCUGUUGGCAAAGCAGCUAAUCGCUCCGCCGUCCACGGCACCAAGCUUCCCAUUCCUGACGUUGUCGAUAAAGAACAAGUUGAAGUGGAGAUCAAUCAAGCUAGGGAGGUGAAGGAAAAGAAGAGGCGAGAAAUGGAGAAUGCUAUCGACUCCCAACUGAAGAACUGGAACGUUAUACGCUUCUCCAGCUAAACUGCACUUGUUAUACUCUACUCAUAUGUAAUAAUCUCUAUCUGCUUGUUGGUCAUGUAAUCUAAGACAUUUGCUUUAACAUCAUCCUCGCACAAUGAUAAAACAUUGAUAGAAACGAAACAAAUGUCACAAUAAUUGGAAUGAACUAAGUGAAGCCCAAUGGGAUCCUGAAACUUUACAUAAAUGGUCAUGA
rnacentral:misc_RNA from 1 species